GAUAACAGGCUUAUCGCCACCAAGAGUUCAUAUCGACGUGGCGGUUUGGCACCUCGAUGUCGACUCAUCGCAUCCUGGGGCUGGAGAAGGUCCCAAGGGUUAGGCUGUUCGCCUAUUAAAGCGGUACGCGAGUUGGGUUCAAAACGUCGUGAGACAGUUUGGUUCCUAUCUGUUGUGGGCGUAGAAUACUUGAGGAGAGCUGCUUCUAGUACGAGAGGACCGAAGUGGACAAACCAAUGGUGAUCCGGUUGUUCUGCCAAGAGCAUAGCCGGUUAGCUAUGUUUGGAAAGGAUAAGCGUUGAAAGCAUCUAAACGCCAAGCCUCCUCCAAGAUAAGGUAUCCCAAUGAGACCCCCUGAAGACUACAGGGUUGAUAGGUUGGGUGUGUAAGCGCAGUAAUGCGUUGAGCUAACCAAUACUAAUAGGUCCAAAGGCUUGGUCACUUUUUU
rnacentral:rRNA from 1 species